rnacentral:rRNA from 1 species
UUGUGUAGUGCGAUGUGGGGACGGAUCUUAAUAGGUCAUCCGGGUGUUGGAUAUCCCGGUUUAGGCAGAUGUAGGCGACAGGUAGGCAAAUCCGCCUGUCAUAUACCGAGGCUGCCGAUCGAGCGAGCUUGCUCGCGAAGUGAUUGAACGAGGUUCCAGGAAAAGCCACUAAGCUUCAGCUACACACGACCGUACCGCAAACCGACACUGGUGCGCGAGAUGAGUAUUCUAAGGCGCUUGAGAGAACUCGGGAGAAGGAACUCGGCAAAUUGACACCGUAACUUCGGAAGAAGGUGUGCCCUAGUAGUGUGAAGUGAACAACGGAGCAUGAAUGGGUUGCAAAAAAUCGGUGGCUGCGACUGUUUAUUAAAAACACAGCACUCUGCAAACACGAAAGUGGACGUAUAGGGUGUGACGCCUGCCCGGUGCUGGAAGAUUAAAUGAUGGGGUGCAAGCUCUUGAUUGAAGUCCCAGUAAACGGCGGCCGUAACGAUAACGGUCCUAAGGUAGCGAAAUUCCUUGUCGGGUAAGUUCCGACCUGCACGAAUGGCGUAACGAUGGCCACACUGUCUCCUCCCGAGACUCAGCGAAGUUGAAAUGUUUGUGAUGAUGCAAUCUCCCCGCGGAAAGACGGAAAGACCCCAUGAACCUUUACUGUAGCUUUGUAUUGGACUUUGAACAGAUCUGUGUAGGAUAGGUGGGAGGCUUUGAAGCAGGGUCGCUAGAUCUUGUGGAGCCAACGUUGAAAUACCACCCUGGUGUGUUUGAGGUUCUAACCUAGGUCCAUUAUCUGGAUCGGGGACAGUGCAUGGUAGGCAGUUUGACUGGGGCGGUCUCCUCCCAAAGCGUAACGGAGGAGUUCGAAGGUACGCUAGUUACGGUCGGACAUCGUGACGAUAGUGCAAUGGCAUAAGCGUGCUUAACUGCGAGACUGACAAGUCGAGCAGAUGCGAAAGCAGGACAUAGUGAUCCGGUGGUUCUGUAUGGAAGGGCCAUCGCUCAACGGAUAAAAGGUACUCUGGGGAUAACAGGCUGAUACCGCCCAAGAGUUCAUAUCGACGGCGGUGUUUGGCACCUCGAUGUCGGCUCAUCUCAUCCUGGGGCUGUAGCCGGUCCCAAGGGUAUGGCUGUUCGCCAUUUAAAGAGGUACGUGAGCUGGGUUUAAAACGUCGUGAGACAGUUUGGUCCCUAUCUUCCGUGGGCGCUGCAGAUUUGAGGAAGCCUGCUCCUAGUACGAGAGGACCGGAGUGGACGCACCUCUGGUGUAUCGGUUGUCACGCCAGUGGCAUUGCCGAGUAGCUAUGUGCGGAAGAGAUAACCGCUGAAAGCAUCUAAGCGGGAAACUCGUUCCAAGAUGAGAUCUGCCGGGGCCUUGAGCCCCCUAAAGAGUCGUUCAAGACCAGGACGUUGAUAGGUCAGGUGUGGAAGCGCAGUAAUGCGUUAAGCUAACUGAUACUAAUUGCUCGUGCGGCUUGACCU